rnacentral:rRNA from 1 species
AACGAACGCUGGCGGCAGGCUUAACACAUGCAAGUCGAGCGCCUCCUUCGGGGUGAGCGGCAGACGGGUGAGUAACGCGUGGGAACGUACCCUUUCCUACGGAAUCUCUCCGGGAAACUUGCAUUAAUACCGUAUACGCCCUUCGGGGGAAAGAUUUAUCGGGGAAGGAUCGGCCCGCGUUGGAUUAGCUAGUUUGUGGGGUAAAGGCCUACCAAGGCGACGAUCCAUAGCUGGUCUGAGAGGAUGAUCAGCCACAUUGGGACUGAGACACGGCAAAAACUCCUACGGGAGGAAGCAGUGGGGAAGAUUGGACAAUGGGCGCAAGCCUGAGAAAGCCAUGCCGCGGGAGUGAUGAAGGACGGAGGGUUGUAAAGAGAUUUCAGUAGGGAAGAUAACGAAGGUAAAUACAGAAGAAGCCACGGCUAAAUGAGUGCCAGCAGCCGCAGUAA